rnacentral:sRNA from 1 species
AUAUUAGGAUGGUUCUGCUUGAAGUUGUUGAAACCUUUGUUGUAACCUC